rnacentral:rRNA from 1 species
UACGAAUGGAGCGAGCGUUGUUCGGAAUCACUGGGCGUAAAGCGUACGCAGGCGGUCUUGAAAGUCAGGAGUGAAAUCCCAGGGCUCAACCCUGGAAUUGCUUUUGAAACUCCAAGACUAGAGUACUGGAGAGGUUGGCGGAAUUCCGAGUGUAGCAGUGAAAUGCGUAGAUAUUCGGAGGAACACCGAUGGCGUAGGCAGCCAACUGGACAGUUACUGACGCUCAUGUACGAAAGCGUGGGGAUCAAACAGG